AAACCCAUUAUUUAAACAACAAAAUAUUCAUUACUUCUAUCAAUUUAAGUGUGGUAAUAAAAUUAUUAACACCACCGUAUUGAACGAUCGGCGCGGCGUGCUGCCGCGCUCAUUCCUGCUAGUAUAUAUCUACUAUAUUAAAGGGCAACCAACUUCUUUUUUCUCAUAAUUUUGGUUCUUUUUUGGGAUUAACAGCUGGUUGACACGUACCUGAUUUUGUGGUUAAUUUCCACUGACAUUUUCUUGUGUACACUUGAGGCAUCCUCUUGCAUUUUUGUUUUUACUUUCACUUGUUCUGAUCUGGGCUUUCUUUUGUUAUGGGUGGAUGUACCAUUUUAGUGGACUGCUUUGACUCUUUCUAGACAGAUCCUCCAUGCGUACAGCCCCUCGAUUCUCCCCGUGCUCUCUCUUUCCUCCACCGCCCCAUCGUAUCCAGGCCAGGGCUGGUGCCCUCCGCCCCAUCUCUUCUUCCUCCUUCGGCGGCCCUCCGGCGGGGUACGUCACCGUCGCCUUCUUCUGGGUUGCCUCCCGGCUUGAUCUGCUUGGCGGGGAGGAUGCGGCGCUUCUGAGCGGCUCAGCGGAGCUUGGGGAUGCCGGCACCCAUAGCGAUUUCCGGACGGAGAAGGCCAGCAGCCGGUCGAGAACCUCCACCCUUCCCCCAGCCUGAGCCCCCUACCUCGGCAUGUUCCCCGCCCUGAUCUCCUCUGUCGAUCUCCCAUGUGGCCGCCACUCCCUCAGCGGUGGUUGAUUUCGAGGGAAACAACGCGAUGUGUAGGAGGCCAAAGAUGGUGCGGUCACGCUGGCAAACGAGGCUACUAGGAUUGCCUCGGGGGUCGCACACAAGAGCGGAACGGCAUGGCAUCGUGGAGGAUUCGGCGGAGGAGACCGAUACGGUGACGUGCCGUCGUGCAGCAACAUGGGAGGAGGUCAGAGGUGGCUGGAAUCGUGGUGAAGGCGUCGGCAUUUUGUUCGUGAAACAGAGAGAGGCUAAAGUCUCCGCGCCUCUAGCCCACAGAGCCGCACUCCCGCGUUUAGCGGCGAUGGAUUACGGGCGCUCGACGCCGGCAACUCAAGGGUACAAGCAGAGGCGAUGAUGAUCUUAGGUUGCAGCGAUGGGGGUUACACGCAUGCGACGGCGAUGACGAAAGGCACAGGAAGCAUCGUCUGAGUAGGUGUGUGGUGGCGCAUGGCCCUUGGGCGAGUUGCUGCUUGCUGGUCGACCGUGGAGUAUGGAAACAACGCAUGUAGUUUAAGAACUAGCCUAAUCUCUUUUUCCAUGUGCAGCGACCACAGCUUCAGGUUCAGACAAUAUUCACGACAGUCCUGUAGCUUGGAUUGGAGCGACCAAUUUGUCAUACAGAAGUGCAAAGGAUGGAAAUAAGCAUACUGCAUCUUAUGUUAUAUUGGCAGCAUCUCGGCUUUAUACUUAAUCUCUUCAAUUAGUGUUAUGUUAGGUUUCCAUAAUGCCGCAAAAAGAAAAGAAAGAGGGUCUGCUGCCAUGCAUGCCAGGCUAUUAGAUUGUUAGAAUAUUCCUCUCAACAAAAAAAUUGAUGCAAAUAUUUCAUGGUUAAUUUAAUCUGCACGUCCAAGAUGGAUUCAUUUUUCAUUUUGGGGCUGAAUACUGGAACGUGUAUAGUGCCGGAAACCAUCAGCCUUUUAGCUCCAAGCCCUCUUUACAAAAUAUAUGCAAAUUCAGUAAAGUGGACAAUCUAACUCAGGCUUUUGAAAACAGUAACUGGCCUAGAUCCGGUUUCUCGACCUUCUCACAUGCUUAUUCCAUAAAAUGGUGUUCAGUUUCUUGAAUUCACUUGCUCUCAAUAAUUCAGUGUACAUAGUACAUAUACUGUCUGUAAUGCUACAGUACUUAUGAUGUCAAGCUUGUGUUACAGAUCGUCUAGACUUUGUUACUUGAUUGGAUAGUUGAAUGCAGAUUCAUAUAUGUUAUUUGAUUUAUGUCAAACUAUCAUGAAGUACUAUUAUGACAACCACCAGUAUAUGCCCUUUUCCCGGACUUGACAGUUUGAUGCUCUGCUGCAUCCUGUUGUAAUAUCAAGUCUCCCCCUCUGCUUUUGACAUGUUGGAUUUUUAUCAGCAAAAAACAGGUUUCUAAAAAUGUGUUUACCAUCAAAUAAAGAACUGUUGAAAUGGCUCUUCUAACAAACAUUCUUGUUUAUUGUAUGUUGGUUAGAUAUUCUGUCAAUGAAGAACCAACAAAGCCUGGGGCAUGUUACAUUGGUACCCAAUAACCAUUAGAUUACAUCGCACCGGAUACAUGACUUCAAUGAAAAGAUGCUAAGGCAUAGUAUUUGCAGGUCAUUAAUUCAAUCUUAUUUCUCAAGUAAAUGAGAGAAGCAUUUCCUCUUUUGUCUUCCUUUUUUAACUUACGUAGUCACAAAUUCAUUGAAGUUGGCAUCAUUCACUGCCUUCUCUGUCCAGAAAUAAGCUGGAGCCAAAUAUUUCACUAAAUAGGAACAUAUUGAUCAGUGUUUCCAUCUUAAAAUUGUUUUUUCCCAAAUUUAACUGUAGUAAAGUAUUAAUUUUAUGUGGCUCCCCAAAAGGAAACUUAGUAACCAGUCACAAAUUAUAGAUAGACAUACAUGUGAAUCAUCCCGACUGUACACCUUCAGGACUUGGAUUUUUCUUUUGCUGCGAACACUCAGGCUUCGGCUUAAGGAUGCGCUUACUAAUUUGCAUCGACAACAGGUUAUUCUAGCGGUAGAUUAGUUGAGUUCAUAUUUUUCGACUUAGGAUUUGCAGCGCACCAAGAGAUGCUAUCGUCAGCAUUCAUCUCCUUCACACAAUUUCUUAACGAAGUACAUGAAGGUGUUUGCUUCCUUAAAAUGUUGGUGUGUUCCUUUUGUUCGGUUACACUUUCUGUUGAUCAACUAGCACAUUCAGCUAACAUUGUGUUCCAAGGUAUUCUUACAGAACGUUGGCUUGCCGCGUGCCCAGUUAUUUGUUGGUCUUCAGUUAGCUUUAGCCGUCAUGGUUGCUUUUGCUUUGACAAACUCCUGGCUACUACUCAGUUAAAGGGGUGAGGUUAGUAACAUUGGAUAAUGGAACGUCUCCAUAAAAGAUAGGGCAUCUUUGUUAUUUACUUGAAGUUUUUAUCAGGGUGCUUUAGCAGAAAGCUACGUUUUUCUUUUUAUUAUGAUUUUAUGAGCCUAUCGCGUGGGGUGAGGCUUCCUCUGGUUAGUAAUGCUAAACAAUGGGAAGCCUCAGUGUAAAUACAAGUUAUAAUGCAUCUUUCUUAUUUAUUUGAAGCUCCAUUAGUGUGCUUUAGCAAACGCAACAUUUUACUUUCUAUUAUGGUUUUUUGAGCCACUCCCAUAGUGCUGUGACUUUUGUACAACCAUUGUACCUUUUGUUUUUUGUUUAUGGACUAGCCAUUUUGAUAGGCAUCGCACGUUUUGUGCAAAGUUAGUUUUUCAACCUCAGUUUGUAGGUUGCAUAUUCUGUUUCUUUUAAAAUAAUUAUAACUGAGUUAUGUAUUUUCAUUUUAUUUUUAUACACCACAAAUUAUUUUGUAUUACAACAAUAUGAAACAGAGAUAACAACUGAAUCAACCCCAUUUGCUAUUUCACUUGCAAGAUACCUACACUCUGUUGGUGCAGAGAUGUAUGGAGCAUUUUGGUGUUCCCAUUACAAUGAGCAAAAACUGGUACAAACUCUUUCAUCUUCCUAAUUUCAUUGCUUAUGUGCUGAGCAAAAUCUCCCAAAACGAAGUUGAACAUGGAAGGUUCUGGUGUAUGUUGCUCGAAUAUGGGAGUCUAAGGAUCGGCAAACAAAGCAGAUUUUGUAUGAGCUAGACUUUAUUGUUCACGAGUUACUGUUUUAUGAUCUGAAACAUUAUGUUGAACUGUCUUGCUCCAUGCACGCCAUCUCCUAUGUUGUUUUUCUUCUUUUUUUUGUCCCUGGUUAUUUUAGAACGUUACCUUCCUGGACGAAGAUAAACUGAUUCUUCUAUUUUAGAAUUUCCUUCCUUUGUAUGAUUUGUUUGACCUUGCGACUCCACAACAGUGAGUAAUUUCCGUCUGUACUGAUUAUAAGUAUGCAUAAUCUUCGUAACUAUACUUUACUUGCAUUUUGUAUUAAAGAUCAAUGGAUGCUCCUAUAUCUGAACUUUACUUUUUGCAUAAAAAAUAUUUGUUAUGCCACCACACUUAAACUCAUAUUUCUUGCAAUAUAUAAAAUAUUUUACCUUGUAACCUCACCAAGUAAUAAUUUUCAUGCAAACCAAUUCGUGAAUUUACAUGAUCUCCUGAAUUAUAUUUUGCAUACGCUUUCUACAAGCCAGCAUGGAAACCUCCUGAACUAUCUUUUGCAUCGUUUUAUAUUAAUCGGAGUGGAUGAUCCCAGAAAAUAAUAAUUUUCGUAUGUACUAAUUCAUAAGGAAUGUGUAGGCCUUGUGAACUGUGUUUGCAUACGCUUUAUAUCAGUCAUAUUGGAUGAGGAGUCUUUAUUUACUAAUCUAUCAAUUAGUAUAUUGCACUAAAUUAUAUAUCAUAUACAUUGUCUCCCGUAUAAUUUCUUUCUUUCUUUAUGUUCGAUAAUCUUAAAAUGGUGAUACCAUGCCCUGUAACACACCUCCCUUGUGAGUUGUGACCUUGUAAAACUAUCCUUCUUUGCAAUGAAAUGAAACGCAAUGUCUUUGCGUUUUCUCAAAAAAAAAAGAUAAUCUUAAAAUGGUUCAGGAAAGUGGAUAAGGUAUUUGAAUGUUCUUGUUCUUUUUUUCUUUUUUAGACAGUUAAUAUUAGAAAGAUGCUUCCUAGCUAUUUAGAUGAGUUUCUGAAGUCAAUUACUUAUUCCGCAUUGUGAACACAAUUUAUUCCUUAGAUUGACGUGGAGGUUCAGCAAAAAGUUACGCAAGGUCCCCACGCAGAUGUUUCCCAAGGCUAAAAUACAGUUUCAUACACAGUUUUUGGUAGGUUCAAGAAGCUCAAUCAAUGGAAGGAAACUGUUAUAUGAUGUGUACAUUUUUUUUAUAGCUGCAGGCUGUGAUUGAGGUACAGCACAAUCUUUUCGCAUACUUGGCAAUGUUGCUUCUCCACUUUCCUAGGAUUCAGCUAUGUUGUUGUGUCGUUGUGUCUCAGGAUGCAAAUAUAGAGAGUAAGAACACUUCCAGGUCAUGAUAGGAUAACAACUACAAAUUUGUGAGAUCCAAAGUACAUCAACUACUUAUUCAGCUAGCAUUCAGUUAACUUGCGUGUUAGUAUUCAGUUAGCUUAAAUUCAAUUGCCAUCAGAUACAUAUUAGUGCAUUAUUUGGUUAUUAUUCAGAUAACACACACCUUACACUUUUAUCUUCGAGCCAUAUCUAAAUAUAAUCAUUUAGCCUACAGUUUGUGCCUGAUCAUUCGUUUGCCCGGCUGCUGCUUUGUUGGUGUCUCUUCUGUGCUUACUCCUUCGCCUGCCGCUCGGGAUGCUGCUUCUUCAUUUGUUGCUUUGUCUGAUGUGGAUGCUCACGGGCGAGAUAUUCCGCCUGGCAAGCAGACGGUCGGCUGUUCUGAAUGUACUCUUUUUUCUGCAUGAUUCAGUGACUCUGCUUUUUUCUCUUGACUUUGUUUAGUGACUUCGAUGCAGAUCAUUUGGAGCAUGUCCUUCUUCUUGGCGCCUUUGAUUUAUUCGUCAAGGAAAGAUCAGGGACAAUACUAAAUAAACAGUGAUAAGACUUAUGUCUUCCUGUUAAGGAGUUUGUGGAGCGGGAGUUAUCCCCGACUUGAAAACAUCACAAUAUGGUAUCAACGUGAAGCAACUACUCAAAGCUAGCCUUAAAGGGGGAUAUUUCUCAUGAAAUAAACUCAUUUGUGUACAUAUUCUAGGCAACACAGGUGAUGAUUCUAAGGAGAAAAAUAUAAAAAAAAUUAAACGCUAAUUGGUUUUGUUGCUAUCCAAAUCCAAAAGUAUUCAAGUAUCGUAGAGUUUCUUAUUUCUCUUUAAAUUUGUGUUCCUAAUAUCAUCUCUUUUUGAUACUGCCAGUCACACAUCAUAAUUGUAGGCAAUAUCUUGCCGGCGCGAGUGUCGCCGCGCCACUCUUUCCUAUAAAAGCAAGGGGGGAAACAGAGUUGGAGCAUACUUGCCAAAGACUGUAAUCUCUCAUGACAGUUCUAUGUUGCCAUCUCAAGAAUAACAUCAAGGAAAUUAAGGUUUAAAAAUACUUGCAGUAGCUGAAAACGGUGGGCCAACUAAGGGCCGGACCUAGCCAAAAGUUUUUGUGGGGGUCACUCAGUUGAGUGGGGGUAUUUGUGAUACAAUUACACUGUUUUUGAAUUUUUCCAUUGAAGUAUGAAGAAAUUUCACUAAAAUUAAAAUUUUGAGUGGGCGACAAGGGCAUUAUAUUUCAAGAGGUGCUUGCCACCUAUAAUGAUUGCUACUUCGUUCUUAUUUGCCUUUUGUCUCCUAGCCGUGCUUACAACUUUGAAAUUGCUAUUUCUCUUUCAGCAACAAGAACAUUAGCCUGAAGCUAGACCUACCAUUCUCUAUCAUCUAUGAUCUAUGCAUGUAAAAGUAAUUUUAGUUAUCCUGCCUACAUUUAUCUUUAUGCAAGUAAUAUCAAUUAUUGAAAGGAUAGCUGAUAUCAAUGUAUAAGGUCAAUUAUAUGCCUAAGCUUCUAUAUAUGUACAAUAUUUUAAACCUGUUAGUACACCAGAGAAGGAUAAAGCUAGCAAGGAGAAGUUACAGAAAAUUAAGGAUAUUUUAAAUGAGUAAGGGUACCUUAUAGUAUGCUAAGCAUAACACAUGGUUUCACAUACCAGAUUAUAUAAACAUGUGUGCAUAUUUCUGAAACAAUUAUUCUAUUAUUAUGGACUAUGUACUCAUCUAAAUGCGUGUUCAUGUCGAACCAUGAUCACUUUAGAGCUACUUCAAUGAACCAGCUGCUAUUGUUUGUAUUAUCUUAUGGGUGGCUCUGGUUUCAACCAUCUUAAAACCCACUAUUUAAACAAGAAAAUAUGCAUUACUUCUAUCAAUUUAAAUGAUCUUAUAAUUAUUACAACCAUUAUAUUACAAAGUCUGCGCGGCGUGCCGACGCGCCCAUCCAUGCUAGUACUAUAUUAAAGGGCAACUAACAUCAUUUUUCUCAUAAUUUUGAGCCUUUUAAGGAGUUAACCUCGUGGGGACACGUGUUGUUUCACAUGGUUUGUUUUGAGCUGGUUAUCUUCUGUGUAGCAUUUGGUGCUCAGUAACAUUUUUGGCUUCAGUAGUUCAGUGAUGGAUUGGCUUGGUGUUUUCUCAUAGUGUGGGCGUAGCCAUUAUUUAGUUGGGACAAAGUGGGCACGAUCUAUCUGGUGUUGCUGCCACACCGCUUUGACUGUUUUUUAUCCUAUCUCUGCCUCUGGAACUCACCCGAAAACUCAGUCUCCUCUUUCUUCCCCAAUUUUCUUCACGCACGGCGAGUCCCCGCCGAUCCCCCGAUGAGCUUCUCCGGCGAACCGCCGCCGUGGUCCACCCUCGGCGCGCCUACUGUGCUCCCCUGCCCCACUUUGCUGCCCUGCUCCUCCUCCACCACGCGAACCAUCAAGCUCCGGAGGGCUAUCGCCGCCGCGCGCCCGGAGGGCUGCUGCCGCCAUGACCCGGUGGCGAGGCAGAGUAGACGUCGGGGCGAAGCUCCGAAGAUCGUAUUUUUCAAGAUUCGGGCGCGCUGUAGGAGGUCGAGCGGCGGGCGGAUAUCUGGAGGGCAGAGAUGGGAUGCAUUAUUCAAAAGAGGAGGAGGUGGAGGCCAAAGCGGAAAAUCGCUUCCUGGACCUCUUCCACCAUUCUCUGGUGCGGCGCCAACAAGGUCGUCCUCGACAGUCGUGAUCCCGACAGGGCAGCAGUUGCCUCCUCCCUCGGACUGUUCUCGACGCCCUUCAUGUGCAUAUGGCCGCACUCUGCUGGGAACCCGGUUCAACGUACGUUGUUUCUCCGCUUUCUUGUUGUUUACUUCUUUUCCCUAUAGUGAUUUGCUGAUGUUGCUUGUAGUCAGAGCGAUGUACCUCGGGGCCGGGUCGCCGCCUGCAGGAGUGGUGCAUGUCGGAUUGUCGGGUAGACGUACCACCAGGAUGGGGUUGAGGGGCUGCUGGAGGCGGUUGACUUGGAGGGAGAAACGAGCAAUGGUUUGCGGCUUAAGUCAUCGCUGUGGUGUAUGCUCUACCCCCCUGAACUAACUCAGUUAGGUUUUGUCAGAAGUGGAUGCAAUCCAGCAGGGGUUUGGAGUCCCACAAGCAGGGUCUCGGAAGCGGUCCAGAAAGGACUGACCAAUGAGGACAGCCAAAAUGAUAUAGUAGGAGGCUAUUUAUGGAAGGUGCUUCGCUAAAUUCGAUGUUCCAACCUACUGUAAUACUACUUUCCAGUGUGGUUGUGAUAUGAUGCAUUCCACACAAACCAGCUUUUUUUUUUGGAAACCAGUUUCCUCCGACUGGAGCCACCAUGCCAUUCCACACAAACAUCUGAAGCUGGAGUGUGUCAAGUCCUCUGCGGUGCAAAGCAGGAUGUGUCACUGUGGAUGUCCCCAAUUGGACAGCAAGUAAGAGGAUGUCAAAAUAUGGCAACCCUGUAGCACAUAUUUCAGUUUUUAGUGUUAGCUAGAUUAAACCUUAAGUGUGCAAUUUGAUCUGCUCAGUUCCCUACAUUAAAUACCUUUGAUAUAUGGAUGAUUUAUAAGUGCCCAUCAUUUACCUGUUUUGAGCAUGUAUUAGAGGUAUAUUUUCUUUCGAAGACCAGUCCUGAGGGUAUGUUACUACUUUGUUAGAUGCUUUUUACUGAGCAGAGUAGACGUUAAUUUCAGGGAAGUCUAAUGGUAGAUAUUUUAUGUUUGUUAACAAAAAAAAACUUGCAUAGAGAGGGGCACACACUACCAUCAAAUUAGUUUUCUUCAGAUCGACCUCAUUGGACGGAUAUAUUAUGUGUGAAAUUUGGCACUUUGGUGGUGGAUAGUCUAUCACCAUAGUCUUAUUUUCUUUUCUUACCUUGGCAAGCUAAAGAUUAUUUUUCCUUUGAGACAAACAUUAAAUUUUGAGGCAUCCAUGAUCUGGCCCUGUGCUUCGAGCUCACGAGCUUGUGGUGUUCGAAUGUUGGUGCCCGACAGUCUACAGAGCCGCUAAUGAACUACCAGGACAUAUCUGCCAGUAAUACAGGAGCGUGAUGUUAGUACUGGAUUGUGUGGCCUUCAAAGUUUCCUCUAUAAUGUCUCCACAAAGGAUUAUAGAUGUUGACUAUUUUUUUAAACUGAGGUAAAUCAAUCCCCUUCUAAGUUCUUCUCUACUUUCCUUCUUCCCGUAGCAAUUUCUGUACAUUUAUGUAUUUCAAGUGUGUAGAUAAUUUGUGUUUUUUUCCUUCUUCCACUAUUUCUAAUCAUAUAUGAGUCCCUGUUAAAAAAAAAAGAUCUGCAAUAAGUGCCAUUUUCGAUCUCUUCUGCUCUAUCCAUGUGAUUGCAGCAGGUAGAUCCAUGGUCCUGAAUGUUAGCUUAUUCCUUAAUGGCCAUACACCAAACUUCUCCGAUUUUGUUAUUUUAGCUUUCUUCGUCAACAAUUAGGUUACUUUAUAUUUCUGAAUUGUGAUCAGAUCUUUGUAAUACAUGGGACUGUACAAUUUUCUAGCAAAUAUUAUUUUCUCUUUGUACCCAUUUAAUGCUAGAGAGUUACUUCCUGGAGGGUUUCUUCCAAAUUGAUUGUUAAAAUUUUCACAUUAAGAACUCAUUGACCUAUUUUUCUGAACAUUAAAUUGCUGUCAUCUUUCCACUGAUGUUUUGAAGCUUAUAGGUAUUUCUCCUGCAAGUUUGUCUUACUUUUCUAUAGAAAACCUCCAUAUUAUGUUCACCUUCCGGUUCAGAAGUUGCCCGUCCAUAGUUCAGCACACCCUCCUGGCCCCACUCUGCCGCGGUGACCAAUUAUUAUGUGUCAUGUUAAGUUGUUGCCACUGGAAGAACAAGCAAAUAUGAUUAUUUCCUAACUGUGAUAAUUGCAUGUGUAAGUCCUUUGUUUAAUUCUAAAUAAGAUUCUUCAGUUGCUAAUUUCUUUUAGGAUAAAUCCCACAAACCGGACAUAUCCAUUGUGUCUGGUUAAGAAAAGACUGGGAGCAUAUGAUUUGUUCUGUUUAUUGGAUGUUGAAUAUGAAACUCUCAAACCUUCGUGGAUCUUGCUGCCUGUAGGAACAUUCCAUGUUUUCUCAGCUAAAAUAUAGCCAGUGGCACAUAAGAGGUUAGAUUUUGUUUUUACUUGAAUUUAUGUUCGCUUUGUAAUCCCAAUUUUUCUUUCUAAUUGGCAUCUGAUAGUGUGCGUACGGUUCGAUGUAGGUAUAAUGUUGACAUUUGCAAAUGCACUGCUAGAAAAUUUAACAAAAUAUAUGUGAAAUAUGCCAAUGAUUCUCUAUUCGCAGGUUAGGCACUCAUGAUGCAUACUCAUGUGGUUUAUUAUGCCUUCAAAGAGCCUCCGUGAAACCUGGUCUGUUAGAUGCAUAUUAGAGAAUACCAGAGAUAAUUGUUUUGUUGCAAUUGAUUUCUAUCUGGUGUUCUGCCUUUGUUUAGAUUCCUUUUGUGUGCUGGUAGUGUGAUUUCUGCGGACUACUCAGAUGUUCCUUCUGUUGGUGGAUACAAUUACUAGAUUGCAUAUGUUCGGUUUGUGAGCUGACUAAAUAUUUACUUUCAGAUUUUUUGACAGUAUGAACACAUCAGCGUGUAUGCUCUUAUGCCAAUUCAUAUCUUCACUGAUUUGUAUUACUAAGAGUGGAGAAGCUACAUCAUCCAGUGUGUAUCAGCCUGCCAAUGGCUUCCCCGAAUUAAACACUUUCAGUGGUACUAUUACAGUUUGUAGUUUGAGGAUAUAAACUGAGCAGGUAAUCCUUUAGUUCAGCCUUGCUUUAGUGAAUAUUUAUCAUAUUACAGUUAUAAAUCCUUGCGUUCCAGCUGAUCAGAGCAUAUAUAGGUAUGAAGGUGUACAUCGACAUUACUAUGUAAACUCAGUUCCUCCAUUAGUAGAAUUUAUUACUUUCUUAUAAGAGAUAAUAGGCAAUAUUAUGUACGAUUUCUCAACCUGAUGAGCUACUUUAAGGUGUUUACAUACAAAAUGAUACAUGCCAUGUCAAAUCUUCCGAGAAAUUGUAACUUAGCUAUAAUUUAGUUCGACCUUCAUAUUUUAUCUAUGAUAUAUUUAUUUUCAAAAAUGUGUUCUAAUGAUUAAUUCCCUAAAAAUUAUCUCUAUGAUUUGCACUUUAACAAGUCAAAGGGAAGUCGGGAACCGUCGAAGGCCCUAUUGAUAUUCAGCAGUUCAGUACAAGGCCUGUUUGAAUCAAAGGAUUGAACAGAGAGUGGAUGAUUGAAAUACUUAGAAUAUUUUCUGAUGGGAGUUGUUUGAUUUAUCACUUAUUUUCCCACGGGAUUUAUCACACAUUUAUUAAAUGAAUUCCAUUUACUCAAAACCUAUUUGAAAUAAUAUAAUACUUAUCCUAUGGCUCAAUAGAAUAACUAAUUUAGUCAUGUCUAAUUUCAGUGGGAGUGACAUUGCAAUUAUACCUUUGGCACAUUUUUGGAAUAUUCAAAAGCGGGUCCCAUGGUUGCAUAAAAUUGAUACAAACAAUGUUCUGUUCAUGUUUUGAGUAUUGAUCACGUGUGCUUAUGUUGGCAGCAGUGUACAGUCUAUAUAAUAAUUACUAAUAAUAGCAUGCAUAUUGUCUUAUACCAGUAAAAUAUUUAUUAUCAUGGUGACUAGCUUUAUUUAGACGUGCUGACCACACUAGGUAGUCCUCAAGUUCUAAUUUUCAUUCUCACUGACAAACCAUUCUCCCACAUUCCGGUAUUUGAAAAUGCAUUAUGAUACAACUUUCAACCGUGGGCCCACAACCAAGUCCUAACAUACUUCAACUUUAUAGAUCUGUUGUUUCAAAUUAACAUGAAAUAAUUAAUAAUUUUUGGGCUACAUUUCUCCUUCAUUUUGUUGCAUGCUUACUAAACAUUGCAAUUAUGCCUACGGUACAUCAUUUUGUUUCAGCAGAUCCUCUACAUAAAAUGAUCGCUCCCCAGAAGAAUCAUGUGAGGAAGUUUGACAAGAUAGAACAAAAUUGACCUUGGCGGAAAAAGGAGUUGAUCAUGAACAAGACCAUCCUCCAACAACAAAUUUCAGGUUUGUGCAAAUGGUAGCUGCAGAAGUUCAGUGCUGAAACUACAUAUAGACGCUACUAUGUCACACGGACUGCUGCACUUCAAGCCACGGAAGCUCAGAUCACAAUUCAAGAACUUUGCUACCACGGCAAUGGAGUACGGCAGCCAGCGAGCGCAAGGGCAUAUGCACACUUCUUAAACUGUAAUUCUGGUGAGCUAGCAGCUCGCUGAGGACCUCCAGUUGUACAAGGAAAAUUUGAGUACAUAAGCUUCAAUCUAUAACUGAUCGAGAAAGAAGAAGCAAAAUCAUACUGGAGGGUGCAGCAGCGCUCUAUUACUCACAGAAGUGAGCAGGCAACAAUUGGGUCAUUGCUUCAACUAGCUGGCCGGUCUCUGCCCAUAGGGGAUAGUGCAAAAUUUCGGAGAAACUGUCGAUUGAUCAAGGUGUCCUACCGUCGGCACCACGCUAGCAGGCCAGCUGGUGUGAAUACAGCCUAUGACAGUGCGACGGCCAUGGAUGGGAUGAUUAAGACCGACGAUGGAGAGUGGGAGGCAGCCUGCGGCCAAUGCAACAGGAGCGGUGGCCGGCAGCCGCGUAAGCUGCAGCCUGUUGGCAGGUUUAAGACGUUUUUUUUUUUCUUUUCGAA